GCCUGGGUGGCUCAGUAGGUUGAGCAUCCGACUUUGGCUCAGGUCAUGAUCUCACAGUUUGUGGGUUCAAGCCCCGCAUCAGGCU
rfam:Felis catus isolate Cinnamon breed Abyssinian chromosome F1, whole genome shotgun sequence.